UACGUAGGUGGCGAGCGUUGUCCGGAAUCAUUGGGCGUAAAGAGCUCGUAGGCGGCUCAGUAAGUCGGCUGUGAAAGCCCGGGGCUCAACCCCGGAACUACAGUCGAUACUGCUGUGGCUAGAGUCCGGUAGAGGAGAGUGGAAUUCCCGGUGUAGCGGUGGAAUGCGCAGAUAUCGGGAGGAACACAAGUAGCGAAGGCGGCUCUCUGGGCCGGUACUGACGCUGAGGAGCGAAAGCGUGGGGAGCAAACAGG
rnacentral:rRNA from 1 species